UAGUAUAGUAAUCUCAUAAUUUGCGUAC
rnacentral:piRNA from 1 species